GAUGAACGCUGGCGGCGUGCCUAAUACAUGCAAGUCGAGCGAACAGACGAGGAGCUUGCGCCUCUGACGUCAGCGGCGGACGGGAGAGUAACAUGUGGAUAACCUACCUAUCAGACUGGGAUACUUACGGGAAACCGGAGCUACUACCGGAUAAUAUAUUGAACCGCAUGGGUCACUCGUGAAAGACGGUUUUGCUGUCACUUAUAGAUGGCUCCGCGCCGCAUUAGUUAGUUGGUAAGGUAACGGCUUACCAAGGCAACGAUGCGUAGCCGACCCGAGAGGAUGAUCCGCCGCUCUGGAGAGGAGACACGGACCAGCCUCGUACGUGAGGCAGCAGUAGGGAUCCUACCGGAAGGAGCGGAAGCCUGACGUGGCAACGCCGCGUGAGUCAGAAAGGUCUACGGAGCGUAAAUCUCUAAUAUUUUAGGAGAACAAAUGUGUAUGUAACGAUGCGCGACUGGAAGGAACCUAAUCAGAAAGCCCGGCCUAAUUCCUU
rnacentral:rRNA from 1 species